UACGGAGGGUGCGAGCGUUGUCCGGAAUCAUUGGGCGUAAAGGGCGCGUAGGUGGCCCGGUCAGUUCGUGGUGAAAGCGCGGGGCUCAACCCUGCGUCGGCCAUGAAUACUGCCGCGGCUGGAGCACUGUAGAGGCAGGCGGAAUUCCGGGUGUAGCGGUGAAAUGCAUUGAGAUCGGAAAGAACACCAACGGCGAAAGCAACUCUGCUGGGCCGACACUGACACUGAGAGACGAAAGCUAGGGGAGCAAAUGGG
rnacentral:rRNA from 1 species